AUUGAACGCUGGCGGCAGGCCUAACACAUGCAAGUCGAGCGGAUGAAGGGAGCUUGCUCCUGGAUUCAGCGGCGGACGGGUGAGUAAUGCCUAGGAAUCUGCCUGGUAGUGGGGGAUAACGUCCGGAAACGGGCGCUAAUACCGCAUACGUCCUGAGGGAGAAAGUGGGGGAUCUUCGGACCUCACGCUAUCAGAUGAGCCUAGGUCGGAUUAGCUAGUUGGUGGGGUAAAGGCCUACCAAGGCGACGAUCCGUAACUGGUCUGAGAGGAUGAUCAGUCACACUGGAACUGAGACACGGUCCAGACUCCUACGGGAGGCAGCAGUGGGGAAUAUUGGACAAUGGGCGAAAGCCUGAUCCAGCCAUGCCGCGUGUGUGAGGAAGGUCUUCGGAUUGUAAAGCACUUUAAGUUGGGAGGAAGGGCAGUAAGUUAAUACCUUGCUGUUUUGACGUUACCAACAGAAUAAGCACCGCUAAC
rnacentral:rRNA from 1 species